UUAGUAGAAGCCAAAUUAGAGGCUUAUCACUGUUAAUGAUAUCAAUGAAUAUAUAGUAUAUUUCCUACUAAU
rnacentral:tRNA from 1 species